AAAGCAUAGCGCUAGGUUAGCUACGUAUUAUGGUCCAAUAAUUAAUGUCAGAUGAGUUCGGGUGUAAUUUUGUAAUCUAAUCAGCUCCAUAAAGUAUGGCAGCUUUAACAGCUGGUGCCAAUCCAACUGUAACUCCCCCCGUCAAGGACAGAUAGUAUUAUCUUUGCCUGGAACAAUGGCUGGCUUUAGCAGCGACUCUGUGUAUGAGACAGAGAGAGCAAGUUGGUAACCUGUGGGCUGCUUACAUUGCAAACAAAAGCCAGCUUGUCUUGGGAUCAUUGAGAGGAGAAAGUUAAUUUUUACACCGGUAUCGAUGGCUGGAAGGACCUGAAUAUAAAACUCUGAGAGGAAAGGUACAGUAUGAGAUUUCAUCAACAAGUCUUUCACUGCUCACUCUAUGUAGCAUAUGCUGUAGCCUGUCAAAUGUGAAAAGUGUAAAAGUUACUGCGUACUGAUUUUAUAGCUCUCGUGACAUAAAUUGUGGGGUUUUUUUUGGAUAGUAUGUACAAAAUAGCUUGUUCAUUUAGAUGUACAGUAUAUCUCAACUGUCAAUCCAGUACCUCUAUGAAGCAUCCAUAUGUUGUGCAGGUUGUCACAGUCAUAUAGGUGCUGAUUCAGGUACCAAAAUCAGUAACCUCAGAGAGAGUCAGUGUUGUUUGCUUAGUAAUAGCUCUACGAUAUAACUCCCACAUUUGAUGUGUAAUAAUUAGUAAGCUUUACAGGUGUUUGUAGUUGUUUUUAUUCUCUGGACAGAGCUAGCUACUUCCUCCUGAUUCCAGUCUUUAUCCUAUUGUAGGCUAACCAUGUCUUGUCUCCAGCUCCCUACGCUUAAAAGGAAAGUGAACAGGCACAUUUUCUAACAUUUCAAACUGUUCUUUUAAAUGUAAUUUAAAGGUAAAUGGCUAGAUGCCACUGAGGUAAGUGAGAACAUUUCUUUUAUAAUCAUUAAAUCCUAUCUUAUUUAGGAGGUGUUCAGCCAUUCUCCAGUGUAUUCACUACGAAUUCCAGUGCACAGGGUCCCGGCAGGAAUAUUAACCUAACAUGCACCUCUUUAAGGAAAUCCACACAAACGUGGUUAACACAAAAACUCUGCACAAAAAGGACCAGCCAAUGAUGGCCACUGCGCCACCCUACCAUCCAGGUUAAGCCAACACCAGCCCACCCAUCAACCCACUCCCCUCGUCUGAAAAACAAAAACAACAGAUGGGCUGUGCCAAGGAGACUGUGACUGCUCCUGGCCAUUACCACACUGUGUAGACAGUGAGUGGGAUGUUUUUCUUCCAGCCCUGAGGUUACCUUGGCAACCCAGGAGAAAGAAACGUGAUCGAAGGCUGUGCAAACGGAGGUGUAGGCCGAGUCAUGUCUUUUACAAGCUGCAGGGUCCAUCUCUGAGCCAGCCGGCCCAGUCAGCCAUCCAGCCAGCCAUAUGUCAGGAGACAUGGGCACCAGCCAAUAGUCCUUUCCAGUCAGGGCUUUCAAACCGAGACCUGCCACUGCUCAGGUCCUCCUCAGACAGACUGUCAGCGGGUGCAGCUACAGAGAAAGUUAAUGUGAAGCAUCAAAUCUCAGGAGGACCCUGCUGGCUUCAUACACUAUGACAAAUCCUACGCCCCCAUGGCUCUCUGGUUUAACAACUCUGAUGUUAUUUAACUUUAAUUCAAAGCCAUAAGUAGAGAAUAAUUUCUUAUUAAAGACAGGGUCAUUCAUGUGUCUUUAGUAUCAUAUUAUAUAUCUGAAAGAUAUAAGAUGACCACCAUUCCAACACCUGUUUUUGGAAAAAGACUAUAAAGCAGCUGUUAUUAUUUUUCAUACUGACUGUUUGAGCUCCUCAUCACGACAUUCAGUGACAGCUGAAAUUCUCGUUUCCUUAAAAUGGGCUUCACAAACACUUACAGGACUGACUAAGCAGGAAUUCAGACUGAAAGUUAAAACAGUGCCGGGGAGCUGUGUUGGUGUGGAGCAUGUUGUUUAAGGUAUGAAUAAGACGAUAGAAUUUGAUCCAGUUAGAAUAACAGAUUAUGUGGCGUAACUGUAAGACUACAUCCUACAUUUUCAAUUUCCGUCCACACCAGCGUUUUAGCUACGUAUGAGAAUUGAUCUCCAUCUGUGCUAAAACGACUGAAUAGGCACAUGAGAUGAACAUUCAUACAAAUCACGUGACCACUAACGUACACUGGGAAUACAUGUGUUGGUAUAAACAGGAAGCAGAUUUUUUUCCCGCAGAGCAUUUGACGAUAGAAAAGCUGGUAGCAGAGACAUCAUGUUAGGAUUUGGUUUUUGUACUGUUGUUUUUCCGGUGUUUAUUUGAUAUUGUCUUGGUUUGGAGUUUUGUAAUCUAGUUUAUUAUUUUGGUUCUUUCGUUUUUAGUUUCUUAGUCACUGUCUUGUCUCUCAUCUUAGUUCUUCUUCCUGCACCUUGGUUCUUGUUUUAGUAUUUACUUCAGGUUCCUUGUCUACAUUAUUUUGGGUCUAGUCUCCUUUGUACUUUAGCUCUGUGUUCUCCUUUUGAGUUCUUGUUCAUUGUACAUGUGUGUUUCUGUCUUAUUGGUUAUUCUCUCUGCCCCAUGUCUGCUUGUCUAGUAUUCAGUAACCUUGUCUUGUCUGUUACC